UACGUAGGGGGCGAGCGUUGUCCGGAUUUAUUGGGCGUAAAGAGCUUGUAGGCGGUUUGUCGCGUCUGCUGUGAAAAUCCGGGGCUCAACCCCGGACUUGCAGUGGGUACGGGCAGACUAGAGUGUGGUAGGGGAGACUGGAAUUCCUGGUGUAGCGGUGGAAUGCGCAGAUAUCAGGAGGAACACCGAUGGCGAAGGCAGGUCUCUGGGCCACUACUGACGCUGAGAAGCGAAAGCAUGGGGAGCGAACAGG
rnacentral:rRNA from 1 species